UUUAUUAUUUUUAUUUUUAUUUUUAGCUGAAAAGACGUAAAGACAGUCAGUCCAGUGGUGUUUCUGGAGAGGUAUUCCUUCAGAAAUGGAGACGACAGAAAGCUGCGGAGGCAGACAUUUGCAGCAGAUUGUUUGCAGAUAAUGCUGUUCUUCUUUUUCAGAAGUUUUUGGGGAGCCAACCCUCACAAACCUUCCGAAAAACUAAAAGAGCUAUUACUGAGUCUCAGCGAAUCUUGCCAUGAUCAGCUCUUCCCAGAAGAGAAGGAAGACCAAGGAAAUGAUUUGCUCAGGAUGAGGAAUGAAGACGGCCAUCUUGUGCUCAAACAAACAGAAGUCCUCUGAUGAUCUCAUCAGCCAAAUGAGGGGUUCUGACCAAGUGAUGCUCUUGAAAGGACUGAAAGAAGAGGAUGUGGUAAAUUGUCUUCAGAGAAAAAGCUUCUCUAAAGGUCUUAAAGCAGCUUGAAGAAUGGUCUGGGAUGUUAGGACUGAGAGAUCCUCUGGCUGAGAACAAGCUACACCACAUCAGUGCUGGAUAUCAAACACAAACUGUUUCCAGACACAAGAGAAGAAGAUCAUGAUGGGGAGAUGAAACCAGUUUAGAUGUGAUGAUAAGGAAUCAU